GAGGGUAUAGCUCAGUGGCAGAGCGUAUGCUUAGCCUGCACGAGGUCCUGAGUUCAAUCCCCAGUACCUCCA
rfam:Camelus ferus unplaced genomic scaffold scaffold667, whole genome shotgun sequence.